ensembl:lncRNA
GUGGUUAGAGUGGAGGGGCGGCAGGGUAGCCUAGUGGUUAGAGUGGAGGGGUGCAGGGUAGACUAGUGGUUAGAGUGGAGGGGCGGCAGGGUAGACUAGUGGUUAGAGUGGAGGGGCGGCAGGGUAGACUAGUGGUUAGAGUGGAGGGGCGGCAGGGUAGCCUAGUGGUUAGAGUGGAGGGGCGGCAGGGUAGCCUAGUGGUUAGAGUGGAGGGGCGGCAGGGUAGCCUAGUGGUUAGAGUGGAGGGGCGGCAGGGUAGAAUAGUGGUUAGAGGGGAGUGGAGGCAGGGUAGCCUAGUGGGUAGAGUGGAGGGGCGGCAGGGUAGCCUAGUGGUUAGAGGGGAGGGGCGGCAGGGUAGCCUAGUGGUUAGAGGGGAGGGGCGGCAGGGUAGCCUAGUGGGUAGAGUGGAGGGGCGGCAAGUAGCCUAGUGGUUAGAGUGGAGGGGCGGCAGGGUAGCCUAGUGGUUAGAGUGGAGGGGUGGCAGGGUAGCCUAGUGGUUAGAGUGAAGGGGCGGCAGGGUAGCCUAGUGGUUAGAGUGGAGGGGCGGCAGGGUAGUCUAGUGGUUAGAGUGGAGGGGCGGCAGGGUAGCCUAGUGGUUAG